rnacentral:rRNA from 1 species
AACGUAGGUUCCGAGCGUUAUCCGGAUUUACUGGGCGUAAAGCGCGUUCAGGCGGUUUGGCAAGUCGGGCAUGAAAUCUCUCGGCUCAACCGGGAGAGGUUGUCCGAUACUGCUGGACUUGAGGGCAGUAGAGGGUGGUGGAAUUCCGGGUGUAGUGGUGAAAUGCGUAGAGAUCCGGAGGAACACCAGAGGCGAAGGCGGCCUACUGGGUCAGUACUGACGCUGAGCCGCGAAAGCCAGGGGAGCGAACGGG